rnacentral:rRNA from 1 species
GCGAACGCUGGCGGCAGGCCUAACACAUGCAAGUCGAGCGCCCCGCAAGGGGAGCGGCAGACGGGAGAGUAACACGUGGGAACAUGCCCUUCAGUACGGAACAACCAAGGGAAACUUUGGCUAAUACCGUAUACGCCCGUAAGGGGAAAGAUUUAUCGCUGAAGGAUUGGCCCGCGUCUGAUUAGCUAGUUGGUGGGGUAAUGGCCCACCAAGGCGACGAUCAGUAGCUGGUCUGAGAGGAUGAUCAGCCUCACUGGGACUGAGACACGGCCCAGACUCCUACGGGAGGCAGCAGUGGGGAAUAUUGGACAAUGGGCGCAAGCCUGAUCCAGCAAUGCCGCGUGAAUGAUGAAGGCCUUAGGGUUGUAAAGUUCUUUCGCUCGUGACGAUGAUGACGGUAACGAGAGAAGAAGCCCCGGCUAACUUCGU